rnacentral:SRP_RNA from 1 species
GCGAAUGUUAUAGCAGCACAAUUCACAAUUGCACAGAUGUGGAAACAACCCAAGUGUCCAUCAAUACAUGAGUGGAUUAAUAAAAUGUGGUAUAUGUAUACCAUGGAGUACUAUUCAGGUAUAAGAAACAACAGUGAUCCCGGGAGCGGGGGACCACCAGGUUGCCUAAGGAGGGGUGAACCGGCCCAGGUCGGAAACGGAGCAGGUCAAAACUCCCAUGCUGAUCAGUAGUGGGAUCGCGCCUGUGAAUAGCCACUGCACUCCAGCCUGGGCAACAUAGCGAGACCCCGUCUCU